rnacentral:tRNA from 1 species
GGGGGUGUAGCUCAGUGGUAGAGCGCUUGCUUUGCAGAUGCUGGGUUCAAUCCCUAGCAUUUAAAGCAAAGGCAAAACAGCACAGGGCAGUGGUUCUGUACACAGAUGCUAGAGUCUGACUGCCUGGGUUUGAAUCCUGGCUCUGCCA